CAUUUAAGACCACUUCAUCAAGCCACAUCAGACCGAAUGAUUCAGCAGCAAAACACCAAUUGUGCCGAGCUUUUCAUGUUGAAUUUACCUAAUUGGCCCACGACUUUGCAGAUGCUCAAGCACUGCCACCAAGGCAAGAAGAUGAUGAUGAAGAAGAAAUACCAUCACUCACUCUUACACUUGCAGCCACCAGCUGAGAUACUGGCACUACACAUAAUUUAGAGGAUAACAGAGGCAGGAUCUGCACAAGGUGGCAAACUUCUUCUGUUCCAAGAUAUUACAGGAUGAAUGAAAUCAGCAUGUGAAUCCAUCCAAC